rnacentral:lncRNA from 1 species
UCGAAACGUACGACUGUGAGUCAUUUAUUUGAAUCUCACUUAUAAAUUUCUAACAUAACAAGUGUCUUUCCCAAACUCAAAUUACAGUGAAUUAUUUAAGGUAGUGAACAAAACAAGGAGAGUAAAUGCACAUUUCUCCCCCUACCCUGAAAAAGAAGGGUAAGUUCUAUAUAACAAGGAAAUUUUACAUUAAAGAUCAACAACAACAAAAAAAAAAAAAAAAAGCUUUAGAGAAAGGGUAAGUUCUAUAUAACAAGGAAAUUUUACAUUAAAGAUCAACAACAACAAAAAAAAAAAAAAAAAGCUUUAGAGAAUACACAAAAUGAUCCUAAUAUUGCAGGCUUA